rnacentral:rRNA from 1 species
CCUACGGGGGGCAGCAGUGAGGAAUAUUGGUCAAUGGACGAGAGUCUGAACCAGCCAAGUAGCGUGAAGGAUGACUGCCCUAUGGGUUGUAAACUUCUUUUAUAUGGGAAUAAAAUGUUCCACGUGUGGGAUUUUGUAUGUACCAUAUGAAUAAGGAUCGGCUAACUCCGUGCCAGCAGCCGCGGUAAUACGGAGGAUCCGAGCGUUAUCCGGAUUUAUUGGGUUUAAAGGGAGCGUAGGUGGAUUGUUAAGUCAGUUGUGAAAGUUUGCGGCUCAACCGUAAAAUUGCAGUUGAAACUGGCAGUCUGGAGUAGAGUAGAGGUGGGCGGAAUUCGUGGUGUAGCGGUGAAAUGCUUAGAUAUCACGAAGAACUCCGGUUGCGAAGGCAGCUCACUGGACUGCAACUGACACUGAGGCUCGAAAGUGUGGGUAUCAAACAGGAUUAGAUACCCGUGUAGUC